AUGCAGGCGGUCCGGCCGGACAUGGAGCAGCAGGUCGCCGAGCUCCGUGGCGAGCUGCGCAAGGUGCGGGAGGAGCGCGACCGCGCCCACCGCGUCCUGGAGGUGACGGAGUGGAAGGCGCUCGACUCGGCCAACGACCGCACCACCAUCGAGACGCUGGAGGCGCAGCUGGACGCGUCGCGGGAGUCCGAGUCCCGGAUGCUCGAGUCGCUGUCGCUGCAGACCAAGCAGCUGGAGAUCACCAAGAUGGCUCUGGAGGAGGCCAGGAUCGACGUCGCGUCGCUAAGGGACACGGUGCAGCGGCUCGAGGCCAGCGCCGUCGCCGUCGCCGCCGCCAAGCCGAGGGGCCGCUACGACCGCGAGCUGCAGCGGGUCAGCGGCGAGCUGCGGGUGGCGCUGGCCGGGGAGGAGAAGAACAAGCGGGCCAUGGAGGAGCUCGUGCUGGCGCUCAAGGAGGUGAACGCGGAGCUGCACACCACGCGGCAGCAGCUGGCGCGCGCGCAGCACGAGUCGGAGACGGCGAGGCUCGAGUCCGACCGGCUGCACGUGUCGCUGAAGCGCAAGGACGACAAGGUCCGCGCGCUGUCCGACGAGGUGGCCCGGCUCCGCUCCGACGCCGAGGAAGCGUUCGCCACGUUCCGGGGCAAGGAGGCCGGGUUCACGGCGUGCAUGAAGUCCUCGGAGGCGGAGCUCGCCGCGUCCCGGCGCGAGAACGCGCGGCUCCUCGAGUCGCAGCGGUCCGGGCGGCACGAGGUGGCCAAGCUGCGGGACAUCCUGAAGCAGGCCGUCAAGGACACCAAGUUCGUCAAGGAGGCGCUGGAGGAGGCGAGGAGCGAGAACGCGGCGCUCAAGGAGAUGGUCGGGAGCAAGGACACCGCCGUCAAGUGCAGCAAGGAGGAGCUGGAGUGCCUGCGGGUCAGCGAGGCCGCGGCGCGCGACAGCGUCAAGGAGCUGCAGAGCCUGCUGGUGGCCACGUCGUCGAGCCCCACCCCCACGCCGUCCGCGGCGGUCGACCCGUCGUCGCCGUCGCCGCGGACGCCGGCGGAUCAGCCGCCCGAGGGCGAGAGCCGGCUGUUGGACGCGAGGAUGAAGCCGCCGCCGGACGGGUUCCCGCUGCCGCGGCAGAUGUCGGAGAACUACGAGGGGUCCGUGUACGACAUCUUCGGGACGGUCGAGGAGCCCAAGGGCGAGAUGGGCGUGUUCACCAGGAUGACGACGAUGCCUGGCCGGCGGCGCGUGGUCAUGCGCAAGGUCGGCAGCUUGUUCCGGUGGAAGAGCUUCAACAACAAGUAG
rnacentral:rRNA from 1 species